GUGCUCUUCAUAGAUGGAUCCGACCUCUUCCGCUAAGUAGCUGUGUAGUCUUGGGCAAAGUUGCUCACCCUCUCUGUGUCAACCGCUCCGUCUGCAACACAGCUGCUCAGUUGUUUCAGUGUCACAGCCAUGACGCCUUCACUGGAACCUCGUUGGACACUAGGGCCCACAUUCUAGACUACCAAACCAAGGUCGCCUCACUAGCUCCCUUUAUACCCCCUCAACCCCACACGGUAGGCACUAAGGUUUCCACUUCUCAGCUGGGGAGUUAAGGCUCUGGAGGUGAAGGAGUUUGCCCUAGUGGCCUGCAGCCGCGGCAGGGCGGGGGUCCUGACAACCAGGGCAGCAGUGCUCGCAGGGAGCGAUCUCGGGUCCCCAGUUCUCACCGCAGCCCCUGCCAGGCGACACCGGACAGGCACUCCUGGACUCCCAGCCUUCGACUGGGUCUUCGGCCUGGACAGAGCCAGCCCGUGGGACCCUGUCGUCUUCACAGUGAAGACCAGAUGACGUUUUUCGUACUCGGACCAGUCUGCUGCGAAUCAAUUGCGCAGACGCCCUCCUCUAUUCUCCCACCCCCAAUUCCCCCGAAUUCUGUCUCCGCGAGAGCUCGUGCCAACGAAGAGGUCCGCCCCGGCCCAGCCUCCGCUCAUGCGCGCAGAGGCGGUGCCGAGGACUGGGCGGAUCAACCCGCGCGGCUACACCUACCCGCGCGGAGAGGGCGGGGCAUGCAAAUUUAAAAUGGCGCUCCAGCCCGAGGACGGCGAAGCUACCGCAGGUACCGAAUUCCUCUUCUACGGUGUAGAGAAUAAAAAAUCUUCCCGAGAGUGUGGUGUGGUGCCACCCACAGUACUGUCACCGAAGCAAAGGAAGUGAGACCUCGAGUGAGCAGUGACAGGGGUCACACUGAGUCGAAUAUGGAUGCGAGGAGGACGGAGACAGCGAUGGCAGGUCGCUGGGUAUCGCUUCUCGGCCUUUUGGCUAAGAUCAAGUGUAGUAUCUGUUCUUAUCAGUUUAAUAUCUGGUACGUUCUCUACCCGAGAACAUCAUAUUAAACGGAUUUUUGGAUCCCGGAGUCGGGGUGGGAGCUUGCUCCGCCCGCUCCACGCAUCGACCUGGUAUUGCAGUAUUUCCAGGACUGGUGCACCCUUCCCGGGGAAAUAA